rnacentral:rRNA from 1 species
UACAGAGGGUGCGAGCGUUGUUCGGAAUUAUUGGGCGUAAAGGGCGCGUAGGCGGUGCGGUAAGUCACCUGUGAAAUCUCCUGGCUCAACUGGGAGCUUGCAGGCGAAACUGCCGUGCUGGAGUGUGGGAGAGGUGCGUGGAAUUCCUGGUGUAGCGGUGAAAUGCGUAGAUAUUGGGAAGAACACCGGUGGCGAAGGCGGCUCACUGGCCCGUAACUGACGCCCAUGCACGACAGCGUGGGGAUCAAACAGG